GCGACCACUUUUGAAAGAAAAGUGAGCGCCAGACUGUCUAGCUGGCUAAAGAAAGCUAGGGAUGAUCGUGCACCUUCGAGUUCGAUACUGCCUAAUAUAUUUGAAGAACUAUGUCGAUAUUGGGAUACUGAAUAAUUCAACUUUGUCCGAUCAAGAAAAAAAGCUAAAGCCAACCUAAAGAGUGGCUCGUUGCACACCGAAGGUGCAAAGAGUGUUGGUACGAUUCAAAAGAAGAUGGAAAAAGAAUUGGGGCGCACUCCCGAUCAUCAUUAAGUUUUCAAAAAGACUCAUGUGAAGAAAAAGACUAAUGCGUCGGAUCCGAAUGAGUGGGUGGAGAAAAGAGCCGAACGAGCCCAUCAAGAUUAUGAGCAGCACAUACGUGAGAUGGGAGAUUCGAUCCAGCUAACGCCUGAACAAUUCACUAAAAUUUAGACAGACUAAAUGGUUGGAGGGAGCCACAAGGCCGAAUAUAUGGAAUGAGUUCUAGGAAUGACAUACGACGACUUCAAUCAGGUUUAGAAGGUGUUGGAUCGUCAAGUCAAGCCGAGGCCAUUGACGGAGUUCAGAUAACUGCUAUGUCUCUGCAAAUUACAAAACUUACACGCAUAUUAAAAAAAUCUGAGGCAAAAAAGUUUGAGGAGCAAAAAAUUAUGAAUCAACAAGUUGAGCAAAUCAAAGUACAAGUACUCAAUCUCGACUGUCAGAAUCCGCCCAGUUAUUCAAGAGGAUCUACUUUGGAUGAUUCCAAAUUAGGUUCCUUAUGUUAGUUUAUGAACAUUUGAUUGCAGGUAGACAACAGAUUUCUGCUAUCAAAAAUAUUGUAGAAAAGCAACGGACAGUGUCCUUUAGUACGUCGCUUUUCUGCAAAAAAGUUUAAUUUUUUUUUGAGAAAUAGCUACGGACAGAUGGUCAUUGUCCGUCGCUUUUCUGAAAAUUUUUAAGAACACCAAGAACAAAAGCGACAGACGGAGACUAUUAAUCUGUAGCUUUUCUAAAAAACAAAUUAAAAAUUUACAAAUAAAAUAACACAGUCUGUCGCUUUAUAUUAAAUAAUUAAUUUUUUAAAAAUAAAACGACAGCCUCUAUCGUUGUUUUAUUUAUAUUUUUUUAAUUAAAAAAUAUUAGGAUCGACGCAGUCCGUCACUUUUAGAAAAAGCGUCGAGGAAAAAAGCAUUAAGAGUGACUGCAUUACUUUUUCGUCGAGUUUGACCAAGAAAGCGACGCAGUACGUCGCUUUUUCACAAUUUAUUAGUAGUAUUUUUUUUCUUAAUUUAUGUGGCACAUAUCGAAUUCGGAGAGUCGGUGAAUGCAAUAAGAACUAGUUGUUCGCCGCAGCAGAGUGCUUUGUCCAUUCUUUUAUCCCUUAAGGCAUUGG